UCGAAGCACCCCCUUUCAAGUAUGCAGGAGACGGCAGGCCAUGGCCCAGGAGGCAGAGAUGCAGUGCCGACGAGAUGAGGAAGAAAAAACUGUACGUCUUUCUGUUUCCUUGCAAUCGCCGGGCUCCUAGACAAACACACGGAGCACGCCCUACGCACGGACGGCUUGACAAUCGAAGCCCUCCCAGGUACUCCACGUCUUGUUUUUCUUUUCCGUCUUCAACGCCCACGCCAUUUCCCAAUCGCCGUAGUGCCGCAAGGCAGCAACGGAGGAGGAGCACGCCAGUAGACUCACUGUCAGGUUCUGAGAUGCUGAGAAAGAAUGAUCUCAAAACCAUUCAAAUGGCUCCUUCCCUAUACGGAACUUCAACUUAUAUCUUGAGGAUCAAAGUGGACAUAAAAUGAUGAUUAUGGAUCUGCGGAUGAUAUCAAGGUGCACAAGGUUCUAAUGCUUCAUCAAAAAGCAAAAAAAAAUCUUAUCAUGAAAAAUAUAUAUAAGGAGGCACUAGAUGUGUUGAUGGUGGUCGAGGUAUGCAUUGUUGCCUUAUGUGAUUGUUUUGGUCCUACUAUAAGAAGCAUGUGCAUCUUUUAGAUUGCUACAUAUUGUGAGAAAAAAAUGAUGUGAGAUCUGGAAAUGCCUAAGUAUGGGUUUAUAAUAACGGGCCUCGAGUUCUAGUUUUUCCCCGGGGCCAUGCAAUCUCAACAUCGGCCCUACCUCGGGGAUGCUCAUAGGGGUAUGGUGUAUGUGCGUGCGUUCAUAAAGAUGAGUGUAUGUGAGCAUCUGUGUUUGUACUCUGUUAACAAACAGUUUUCGACGCAUAUAUUGAAAUUUGGAAGACUAGAAUUAUGCUUAAGGAAAUCUCUAAUUAAUAACUUAUACUGCACAAGCAAACCCCACCGUCGAGUUGUAAGGGCGCUAGCUUUCCCUCUAAACCUCGCCAUGAUUCCAUCGCCGAUGACCUUCCCGUCAGUAUGGAAUGAAUUUUUUACAUGACUUUUUUUCCCUAUGUUAGUCACAUUUUCGUCGACUGUCCGAUCUUCAUCCAUUGACACCGAGUCUUUAUCAUCCUCCUGCUUCUCUUUGGACCUCCAAUAUAGAGACCCACUCCUUCGAUGCUGGCCUAA